CUGGCGGCGUGCCUAAUACAUGCAAGUCGAACGCACUCUCGUUUAGAUUGAAGGAGCUUGCUCCUGAUUGAUAAACAUUUGAGUGAGUGGCGGACGGGUGAGUAACACGUGGGUAACCUGCCCUAAAGUGGGGGAUAACAUUUGGAAACAGAUGCUAAUACCGCAUAAAACCUAACACCGCAUGGUGUAGGGUUGAAAGAUGGUUUCGGCUAUCACUUUAGGAUGGACCCGCGGUGCAUUAGUUAGUUGGUGAGGUAAAGGCUCACCAAGACCGUGAUGCAUAGCCGACCUGAGAGGGUAAUCGGCCACACUGGGACUGAGACACGGCCCAGACUCCUACGGAGGCAGCAGUAGGGAAUCUUCCACAAUGGACGAAAGUCUGAUGGAGCAACGCCGCGUGAGUGAAGAAGGUUUUCGGAUCGUAAAACUCUGUUGUUGGAGAAGAAUGUAUCUGAUAGUAACUGAUCAGGUAGUGACGGUAUCCAACCAGAAAGCCACGGCUAACUACGUG
rnacentral:rRNA from 1 species